AGAGUUUGAUCCUGGCUCAGGACGAACGCUGGCGGCGCGCCUAACACAUGCAAGUCGAACGGAGAUUACAGGCGGAAGUUUUCGGAUGGAAGCUUGUAAACUUAGUGGCGGACGGGUGAGUAACACGUGAGCAACCUGCCUAUCAGAGGGGGAUAACGAUUGGAAACGAUCGCUAAUACCGCAUGACAUAGCGGAACCGCAUGGUUUUGUUAUCAAAGAUUUUAUCGCUGAUAGAUGGGCUCGCGUCCGAUUAGAUAGUUGGUGGGGUAACGGCCUACCAAGUCGACGAUCGGUAGCCGGACUGAGAGGUCGAACGGCCACAUUGGGACUGAGACACGGCCCAGACUCCUACGGGAGGCAGCAGUGGGGGAUAUUGCACAAUGGGGGAAACCCUGAUGCAGCGACGCCGCGUGAGGGAAGACGGUCCUCUGGAUUGUAAACCUCUGUCUUCGGGGACGAAACGAGACGGUACCCGAGGAGGAAGCCACGGCUAACUACGUGCCAGCAGCCGCGGUAAUACGUAGGUGGCAAGCGUUGUCCGGAAUUACUGGGUGUAAAGGGAGCGUAGGCGGGCAGGCAAGUCAGG
rnacentral:rRNA from 1 species